GGAGGCUGUGACUCAGUGGUAGAGUGUGUGCUUGGUAUGCACAGGCCCUGGGUUCAAUCCCCAGCACCCCCU